CCUGUGCCUACCAGUGGUUUGACUUGCCAGCCUUCUCCUCAGGGGAAAAAAACUAAAAGCCAAAAAGGAGGGAUCUCAAGGCCACUUCAGUCCUUUGGUGCAGGAGCAGAUGGGUCAGUCGAGAGUUUUCCUGGUGUUUGGUGGCCAGAAAGAACUGAUGGAGGAAGGGGAGAUGGCACUGGAGCAUGGGCUGUAGUGUCCGAGUGGGGCAGGAUCCAGGCUGUGGGAUGCCUCAAGUGGAGCCUUAAGCCAGCAAAGGACUGGAAUCGUGGUGGUGUUCACCUCAGGACAAGUUCGGUAUUCACAGAGCGGCGUCAGCCCUGCACAGAGCCCGGGUGGUGCUGAGUGCUGGGGAGAUCCUGCAGACCUGCUGCUUCAACCACACUGAUAAAGCCUUCUCCUCUGGGAGGUGAAUCGUGGUGUGAUGGUGCCUCUUCCACAAGCAGGGUCAGACAGGGAGCAGGGAAAGGUCAGGACCAUGACCCUUGCUGUCAGUACUGUGCACACAUGGAUCCUUUCCAGCUCCUUGAUGGGAAAACCUGGAGCUGAGGACUCACCUUGUCCCUUGAAAGGUGAAGUGGGAGGCAGCACCACCACACAGCAGCAGUUUGGGAAGUGGGAACCUUCCAAUCCUCUCUCCAAAUCCUCUCCAGGCACUGGUGAGGGGGCCUUA